AGUCGCCAGACUGCAGCCCACCACAGGCGUCAUGUCCCAGAUCUACAAGGAAGGAAGAAACGCGGAAACGGCAGCAGUGAUAACCAGGUCUAAUGGCAGGUGGUGAGGGAGGCUGGUGAUGUGUGGGGAUACUACCUGGGGACACUGUCCCUAAGAGAGACGCAGCAGGCUGUGCUGCCAAUGGCACGGAUAUUUAAUUGCCGGAGGAAGGAAAAUGCAGUGAAUUGCGCACACAGGAAAUGCCUUGAUUGAUGGGACUAUUUUUUCUUUCCCUAGAUAAAGAAAUACACUCCACAAUGAUGCACUUUGAAGGAAUGCUAUGGGACCACAGUGGUGCUUCGGAGGACCUCUAUGCAGUCCAAAUACCUAGAUAUGCCAGAAAUCUGUCUCAAAGUGUUGUCUCAGUGUAUUGCUCAAGGCUGAGAACCAGCCUAAAUGCUGAUUGUAUAUACUGCAUGUCAUUGGUAGAAACUCUCAAAUGAGCAGAGGAAGCAAUGCAAAAUGACACAAAGGACCUUGUCAGAAAUAACCCAUUAGCAGAAGGGGAAGCUGGGACUGUCUGCACCUGGACCGGGCAUUUACAGCUUGCGGGGUGAAAAGCCAAGAAGCAGCCAGGUUCUUGGGGGUCUCUCCUGAUCAGCCUGGACUUGCCCUUGUCUCUUACCUCU